GCCAUUGAUGUGAGAGGCCAUUACUGUCCAUAGCACCCACAAGCUUUCCACCAAUGAAGACCACAUGAUUAAAAUUUUACAAAAGCAAUGCAAACAAUUAAUCAAAAACCAUUCCAGUAGUAGAAUCACCAGAGGUAGGUUAAUUGUAUAUAGAACAAAAAAUUCACACACUCCAAUAUAAACCUUACACAGCCAGCCAACAAAACCAAGCACAUGACCAACAAUACCAACCGAAUCCAAUACCACAAAGACGCUAACUUUUUCGAGAAAAAGGGCUCCACCAGCCCUUCAAACCCCUCCGCCGAUCCGCAAUCGCCAUGAUCACCCCUCAACUUCACAUAGUCCCCUUUGUCAUCUUCACCCCAAAUUCUCAUAAUCAGCUCCUGCACCACAUAUCCCCGAUCCUCACGUUCAUCAUAGGUCAAUGAAAAACCUAGGACUUUGGCCGCACAAAUACCAAUUGGCCCCCUUUUCAGUUAGAAACUAUGAGAAAUUUGGGGGAUUUGGAGCCCUAGGAGAGAGAGUGUGGCGAAUGUGAGGGGUUUGGUGAUCAAUCAGAGAGUCGCAUGGCCAUGAAGACUAGUAGAUGCACAGAGGCAAUCAAUGGAAUCAAUGGGCUCGUCUCUCUAUGUAUGGGUUGCAGGAACAGGAAAGAGAGAGAGAGAGAGAGAGGGA
rnacentral:lncRNA from 1 species